CAGUCGCCGCGGUAAUACGAGGGGGGCAAGCGUUGUUCGGAAUUAUUGGGCGUAAAGGGUGCGUAGGCGGUUUGAUAAGUCAUCUGUGAAAUCUCUGGGCUCAACCCAGAGUCCGCAGGCGAAACUGUCGGGCUUGAGUAUGGGAGAGGUGAGUGGAAUUUCCGGUGUAGCGGUGGAAUGCGUAGAUAUCGGAAGGAACACCUGUGGCGAAAGCGGCUCACUGGACCAUAACUGACGCUGAUGCACGAAAGCUAGGGGAGCAAACAGGAUUAGAUACCCGCGUAGUCCCUGUCUCUUAUAC
rnacentral:rRNA from 1 species